rnacentral:rRNA from 1 species
GAUGAACGCUGGCGGCGUGCUUAACACAUGCAAGUCGAACGAAUCACUUUAUUUGAUUUCCUUCGUGACUGAUUAUUUUGUGACUGAGUGGCGGACGGGUGAGUAACGCGUGGGUAACCUGCCUUGUACAGGGGGAUAACAGUUGGAAACGGCUGCUAAUACCGCAUAAGCGCCCGGCAUCGCAUGAUGCAGUGUGAAAAACUCCGGUGGUAUAAGAUGGACCGGGGUUGGGUUAGCUAGUUGGGGAGGUAACGGCCCACCAAGGCGACGAUACAUAGCCGACAUGAGAGGGUGACCGGACACACUGGGACUGGGACACGGCCCAAAAUCCUACGGGAGGCAGCAGUGGGGAAUAUUGCACAAUGGGCGAAAGCCUGAUGCAGCGACGCCGCGUGAGCGAAGAAGUAUUUCGGUAUGUAAAGCUCUAUAAGCAGGGAAGAUAAUGACGUUACCUGAAUAAGAAGCACCGGCUAACUACGUG